rnacentral:lncRNA from 13 species
UUAAUCACUGUUUCUUUAUUUUUAUUUUUUUAUUUGUAUUUUUUUUUUUUUGGACUUUAGGUUCUGGGGUACAUGUGCAGAUCAUGCAGGAUUGUUGCAGAUACAUACACGGCAAGGUGGUUGGCUUGGUUUUGCUUUGUUGUUGUUCUUGUUCUUUUUUGUUUUUGUUGUUUUUUUCUUUCUCUCUUUUUUUUUUUUUCAAACUGUGUAAAUAAGUUCAAAUAAUCAUGUUAGGCUAUUAGGCAGUUCAAAAAUACUGGCACCAAAUGACAUUUCAAAUACAAGUGACUUGAGCCCAUAGUGUGUUUGGCUGAAGGAAAAAAAAAUCACUUAAAAAAAGUAGAAAAUCUUGUCAUAAUCUCUUAACAUUUCAUGGUGACCAGCUCCCAUUGAACAUUUACCAGGACUGCCAUAACAGCUAGCCAUGUACUCGAAAACUCUAUUUUCAUGCAAAAGUAGCAAAUGCCCUUCUAUUUUCAUUUAACAGUCUCCAUUCUCCCCUAGCUCCCACCAUUUUUUAGUGCUGAACACAACACAUGGAAUAUGUACAUUAGAUCAAUUAAAGAAGUAUGAUUCGUAGAUGUUGUGGGUGGAUAAACCAGUCUACCCUUGUGGUUUUGGAAAGCCUUUCUUCUUGGGUGUGGGAGUGAGUUAAGAAAAAGGAUCAGAGAAGAGAUUUCCGGAGUCACAGUUGCCUUGUGUUUUUUUUUCUCCGAGAGGAUUAUGGGAGUACCCG